rnacentral:rRNA from 1 species
GACGAACGCUGGCGGCGUGCUUAACACAUGCAAGUCGAACGGAAAGGCCCUGCUUUUGUGGGGUGCUCGAGUGGCGAACGGGUGAGUAACACGUGAGUAACCUGCCCUUGACUUUGGGAUAACUUCAGGAAACUGGGGCUAAUACCGGAUAGGAGCUCCUGCUGCAUGGUGGGGGUUGGAAAGUUUCGGCGGUUGGGGAUGGACUCGCGGCUUAUCAGCUUGUUGGUGGGGUAGUGGCUUACCAAGGCUUUGACGGGUAGCCGGCCUGAGAGGGUGACCGGCAACAUGGGGACUGAGAUACGGCCCAGACUCCUACGGGAGGCAGCAGUGGGGAAUAUUGCAAAAUGGGCGGAAGCCUGAUGCAGAAACGCCGCGUGCGGGAUGACGGCCUUCGGGUUGUAAACCGCUUUCGCCUGUGACGAAGCGUGAGUGACGGUAAUGGGUAAAGAAGCACCGGCUAACUACGUG